rnacentral:rRNA from 1 species
GACGAACGCUGGCGGCGUGCCUAAUACAUGCAAGUAGAACGCUGAAGGAGGAGCUUGCUUCUCUGGAUGAGUUGCGAACGGGUGAGUAACGCGUAGGUAACCUGCCUGGUAGCGGGGGAUAACUAUUGGAAACGAUAGCUAAUACCGCAUAAUAGUAGAUGUUGCAUGACAUUUGCUUAAAAGGUGCAAUUGCAUCACUACCAGAUGGACCUGCGUUGUAUUAGCUAGUUGGUGGGGUAACGGCUCACCAAGGCGACGAUACAUAGCCGACCUGAGAGGGUGAUCGGCCACACUGGGACUGAGACACGGCCCAGACUCCUACGGGAGGCAGCAGUAGGGAAUCUUCGGCAAUGGACGGAAGUCCGACCGAGCAACGCCGCGUGAGUGAAGAAGGUUUUCGGAUCGUAAAGCUCUGUUGUAAGAGAAGAACGAGUGUGAGAGUGGAAAGUUCACACUGUGACGGUAUCUUACCAGAAAGGGACGGCUAACUACGUG